GAUGAAGAACGUAGCGAAAUGCGAUACGUAAUGUGAAUUGCAGAAUUCAGUGAAUCAUCGAAUCUUUGAACGCACAUUGCGCCCCCUGGUAUUCCGGGGGGCAUGCCUGUCCGAGCGUCAUUACAACCCUCAAGCUCAGCUUGGUGUUGGGCCCCGCCGCCCCGGCGGGCCCUAAAGUCAGUGGCGGUGCCGUCCGGCUCCGAGCGUAGUAAUUCUUCUCGCUCUGGAGGUCCGGUCGUGUGCUCGCCAGCAACCCCCAAUUUUUUUCAGGUUGACCUCGGAUCAGGUAGGGAUACCCGCUGAACUUAAGCAUAACAAUAAGCGGAGGA
rnacentral:misc_RNA from 1 species